UGGGGGAAUAUUGGGCAAUGGGCGCAAGCCUGACCCAGCAACGCCGCGUGAAGGAAGAAGGCUUUCGGGUUGUAAACUUCUUUUGUCAGGGACGAGCAGAAGACGGUACCUGACGAAUAAGCCACGGCUAACUACGUGCCAGCAGCCGCGGUAAUACGUAGGUGGCAAGCGUUGUCCGGUAUUUACUGGGUGUAAAGGGCAUGCAGGCGGUUCAUCAAGUAGGAUGUGAAAUCCCCGGGCUCAACCUGGGAACAGCAUACUAAACUGGUGGACUAGAGUAUUGCAGGGGGAGACGGAAUUCCAGGUGUAGCGGUGGAAUGCGUAGAUAUCUGGAAGAACACCAAAGGCGAAGGCAGUCUCCUGGGCAAAUACUGACGCUCAUAUGCGAAAGCGUGGGUAGCAAACAGGAUUAGAUACCCUGGUAGU
rnacentral:rRNA from 1 species